UCGGGAAUUUUGGGCAAUGGGCGAAAGCCUGACCCAGCAACGCCGCGUGAGGGAUGAAGUAUUUCGGUAUGUAAACCUCGAAAGAAUGGGAAGAAUAAAUGACGGUACCAUUUAUAAGCUCCGGCUAACUACGUGCCAGCAGCCGCGGUAAUACGUAGGGAGCAAGCGUUGUUCGGAUUUACUGGGCGUAAAGGGCGCGUAGGCGGCGCGGUAAGUCACUUGUGAAAUCUCUGAGCUUAACUCAGAACGGCCAAGUGAUACUGCUGUGCUAGAGUGCGGAAGAGGCAACCGGAAUUCUUGGUGUAGCGGUGAAAUGCGUAGAUAUCAAGAGGAACACCUGAGGUGAAGACGGGUUGCUGGGCCGACACUGACGCUGAGGCGCGAAAGCCAGGGGAGCAAACG
rnacentral:rRNA from 1 species